rnacentral:RNase_P_RNA from 1 species
UCAGUAAACCGCUCUAUCGCCUCUUGAAAUAUAGGGGAGGAAAGUCCGGGCAACUCAGGGCACCAUACUUCCUAACGGGAAGAUAUUCGUGAGGGUAUAGUAGUGUAACAGAAAAUAACCGCCCUAAUUUCGGUUAAGGCAUGGGUGAAAAGGUGGGGUAAAAGCCCACCGGGUUCUGUAGCAAUAUGGAAUGCCGUACACCUUAUGGGUUGUAAGACCAUGUAUAUUACGAUUCAUUCAGCUUCGGCUGAGGGAGCAGUGCUGCCCGCGCUGUUUCUGAGCAAUCGGAAGUCGUAAGGGGUAGGUCGCUAGAGGUUACAGGUGACUGUAAUCCCAGAUAAAUGGUAGAGUUGGUAAACUUUGUUUGCCAAACAGAACCCGGCUUAUAGGUUUACUGCUUUU